CAUUUUUACUCUCAGCAAUUGUAUUUAACGUUUACAUUUUCACUCAAAGCAAAACCUAGAGGGGCCCACGCACCUCUUCUGCCAGCCACUGCUCACUGCCGCCAGCCACUGCUCGCCACCGCUGUCCUCUGCUUGCCACCGCACCAUCGGACACAAGAGCACGAUUCAAGGUCAGCGACAGCAGGUUCAAGUUCUCUUCUCGCAAUUUCCCAAAGAUCUGCGGAAUUUUGAAUCACUACUGCCGGCCACUGCUCGCAACCGUCGUCCUCUGCCUGCCACUGCACCAUCGGACACGGGCACGAUUCAAGACCAACGACAACAGGUCCUGACCCCAAAAAUGCGAUUGAUGAUGUCCUUUUAAGGAGUUAGGCAUGGGUUCCUAUUAGGAAUGUCUAUAAGUGGUCUAAAUAUGCCAUCAAUGGAUAUAAGUUCGUGACAAAAUCUCAAAAUGAAGGGGACAAUGUGAUACUAUGGAAAAUGAUUAUUACGGGGUCUUGAUUGAUAAUGUUGAAGUGGAGUAUACUGGUUGGCCUAACAAAAACUUGGUUUUAUUUAAAUGUGAUUGGUUUGAUUCUAGUUCUCAUGGGACAAGGAUAGAUAACUAUGGCAAUGAAGAAAUUAAAAAAUCUAGGAGAUAACAUAGUUAUGAUCCUUUUAUACUAGCUCAACAAGCAGAGCAAGUGUACUUUACAUCAUUUUCAGAAGGGCAACAAGAUUGGUUAGGUGUUGUAAAAAUCAAGGCAUGCAGUAUAAUUCAAUCAUUUGAAAAUAAUAAGCCUGAAGUUGCAUACCAAGAUGAUGAUGAACAUCAAAUUGUGCCUAUAGUUGUUGCAAAUGGGGAUUUUGCAGAAAGUCUUGUUGACACUCAUGGCAUUGGACAGAAAGUGCCAAUUGAUUGGGAAGAAGAAGAAGACAUAGAAUUCAUGUGGAGUAGUGAAGAGGAAUUUAUUGACAAAGAUAUAGAAGAAGAGCGUCUACAAGAAGAGGAAGAUGACAAUUAUGAAGCUUAUCAAGAUAGAGAUUCAAACUAAGUUAUUCACUUAUUAAAUGUUUUUUGUACCUGUUAUUAAUCUAGUUAUGUGUGCUAUAUAUAUAUAUAUAUAUUAUUGAGAUGUUUUCAAUUUCUAUUCAGUGUUAAAAUUGUGUCUUUUUUUUUUCCAUCUACAUUAGGUAAUUAUUUUUAUAUGCAUAUAAAUGGCAAAUAAUCAGAAUAUGAGUGGUAGAGGAAGAGGUACUGGUAGAGGGAUUAGUAGAGGUAGGGGAAGAGGGAGAGGUAGAGGUACUAUUUUGCCACAACCUUCUACUUCUCAACUGACACAUCCUAUUGGGCAACCAAUUCCUCCUACACUUGAGCAUUGUUCCACAUCCCAAACACCUGCAGCUCCCCAACUUAACCGAUCUACAUGUAGCUCUCAUUUUCAGGCCACACAUCCUUCCAUAUCCCAAACACCUACGGCUCCCCAAAUUAACCUGUCUACAUCUAAUCCUCUAUCUCAGCCCACAUAUCCUACUGGACAGCCCAUGAAUUUUUCCACAACAAGCACACAACUCCCAUCACAUGCCCAAGUAGAUGUUGCAUCUGCUGACAGUCCACAUGUAGCAUCAUCACAUGUUGAUCCACCACCGCAGAUUUGAAGUGUAGACCCUGAUGGAUGUAGAUGGAUUCGUCCAGGUUUGAUCCUCCGAUUUAUUCCACAUGUGAAAUUAUAAAGAUAAUUAAAGGGAAAUUUGAUGUGGUGUUGAUGUUGGGAGUUGUUUUCACAUGUAUAAGUGGCUGCCUGAGCAUAAUGCAUAAAUUAAAAAAAGAUUUGAUCAUAAAGCUUCUGAAGGGUACUCAAAUGCAAUGUAUAGGGUACGACUUGGUGUUGAUGUAGGGAGUUGGAUUUUACCAUUAAUGCAUCAACAAUUAGAACAAAAAUGGAGUGACCUAAAUUGGCAAGAUAAAGCAAAAACUAAUGCCAACAAUAGGGAUUCCUCUGAUGAUGGUUCACUAGAUACAAGAGGAUCAAUUCCUACAUCUGAGCAUUUUAAGAGACUAGUAAGUAAUAAUUAUAUUUACUUUUAUAUUUCUUAGGAAGAACAUUAUAAUUUACAAUGGGUGUUCAAAAAACCCAUAAGUGGAUACUGCACACUGCUCAUCCUUGUUUCUUGCUUUGGUUUAGCCAGGACAUUAGUUCAUUUUUUUAGUGAACUUAGAGCAUCUCUUGGCUAGUUAUGGACCAUUUUAUUGAUAUAUUGACAUUAUUUAACUUAAGAUUAUUCUAGGCAUGAGAUUUGAUGUUAAGUUGUGCCUAAUCUGCACAACAAGUUUGAAAUCACAUGAUUAUUAUAAAUGAAAAACCAAUUAUAAAUCAGGUUCCGUUUUUUUAAAAUGUGAAUUUCACAGCCCCUAGUUUACAACAAAAUUAUGUUCUAAAAAAGGACCAUUCUUAGCGUGCUAGUCUACAGUCUAGUUGUGGUUUCUCUGUAAUUUAAUUCCUUAUUGAAUCUACAUGAUACACAUCUUCAAAUGUUGAAUGCUAAAAUGUUCAACAUUUGUUAACAUGUCCAUGCAAAUGUCUUUUCUAUAUGAUGUAAAUAUGUUCUAUUUUUCUUCUUUUGACCCUAUUUUGAGAUUUGUAUAUAUUGAGUAUAUAUAUUUGAAUUAUGAUGGGUUGAUUCAAGUAUGAGAUUUUGGUGACUUGGCAUAAUGAUAUCAUUUGCAUUUAUUAUACAUGAUUUGCUAGUUUCAUUUAAACUUUAUUGUUUU